rnacentral:piRNA from 1 species
UGACCUUUCUGAAGAGCCAUCUUUAGGUU